rnacentral:snRNA from 1 species
AUACUUACCUGGCAGGGGAGAUGCCAUGAUCAAGAAGGUUGUUCUCACAGGGAGAGGCUUGUCCGUUGCACUCCGGAUGUGCUGACCCCUGUGAUUUCUCCAAAUGUGGGAAACUCAACUGCAUAAUUUGUGGUAGUGGGGGACUGCGUUCACGCUUUCCUCUG